rnacentral:tRNA from 1 species
GCCUUCGUGGUGUAGUGGUCAGCACGCUCGACGCGUAACCGAGAGGUCCGUGGUUCGAAUCCCGGCGAAGGCG